CAGCCCACAAGAUUGGAAGCAGGUGAGGUGUACAGAGGAAAGGCCACUGCCCCGUGGGGGAGGGGUGGCCUGAAGGAAGAGGGACCCCCCUGGGAAGGGGCUGGUUUACAGAUCAGCCCAUGGACAUUUUCCAAGAAAGUGACAAAGACGGCAAAGUUGGAGGUCUGGAAAGCGGAGACUUCCGGGGUUGACUACCUGGGAGCACCGAGACCCCGGACAGCGCCUCUCGGGGUCCAGGAAAGGAACCGCGAUCUGCUUCAGCACCAGAGCUCCGGACAGCUUCCAGCGGGGUUCGCGGGCCCACUUCAUUUCAGCUCCGGGAAACCUGACAGCUUCCCCGGUGAGAUGGCCAGUCGGUCCGACUGUG